AUUGAACGCUGGCGGCAUGCUUUACACAUGCAAGUCGAACGGUAACAGGCCUUCGGGUGCUGACGAGUGGCGAACGGGUGAGUAAUGCAUCGGAACGUGCCCAAUCGUGGGGGAUAACGUAGCGAAAGUUACGCUAAUACCGCAUAAGCCCUGAGGGGGAAAGCAGGGGAUCGCAAGACCUUGCGCGAAUGGAGCGGCCGAUGUCAGAUUAGCUAGUUGGUGGGGUAAAGGCCUACCAAGGCGACGAUCUGUAGUCGGGUCUGAGAGGAUGAUCCGCCACACUGGGACUGAGACACGGCCCAGACUCCUACGGGAGGCAGCAGUGGGGAAUUUUGGACAAUGGGCGCAAGCCUGAUCCAGCCAUGCCGCGUGCGGGACGAAGGCCUUC
rnacentral:rRNA from 1 species